rnacentral:rRNA from 1 species
CCCUUAGAUGUUCUGGGCCGCACGCGCGCUACACUGACUGCUCCAACAAGUUACCUGGGCUGACAAGCAUCCGGGAAAUCUUGCAAAGGCAGUCGUGAUGGGGAUAGAUUCUUGUAAUUUUUGAUCUUCAACGAGGAAUUCCUAGUAAACGCAAGUCAUCAGCUUGCAUUGAUUACGUCCCUGCCCUUUGUACACACCGCCCGUCGCAUCUACCGAUUGAAUGGAGAGGCAAAAUCUUCGGACCGAGACGCUUGGGAGUCAAAUCUCGGGCUGUCGUGGGAAGUGGAUUAAACCUUUCUAUUUAGAGGAAGGUAAAGUCGUAACA